CUGUUAGAGGAGGUAACUCUGAUGGACAGACUGGGUGAGGAAGAUGAGUGUCUGUUAGAGGAGGUACCUCUGAUGGACAGACUGGGUGAGGAAGAUGAGUGUCUGUUAGAGGAGGUACCUCUGAUGGACAGACUGGGUGAGGAAGAUGAGUGUCUGUUAGAGGAGGUACCUCUGAUGGACAGACUGGGUGAGGAAGAUG